rnacentral:rRNA from 1 species
ACUAAACAGGAUUCUCUUAGUAACUGCGAGUGAACAGAGAUUAGCCCAACAUCGAAGCCACCAUGCAUUUGUAUGGGAGGCAAUGUGAUGUUUUGGUGUUUGAACGCACUGUCUGGCUAACUUGAAGUCCAUAUUUGACUGUGGCUUGUAUUUAUACACCCAGAGAUGGUGAUAGGCCCGUUCAGGUUGGUAUUCUGGCAUGACAGUUCAGUGUGUAAUCAUUCAUCAUAGAGUCGGAUUGCUUGAGAGUGCAGUCCAAAAUGGGUGGUAAACUCCAUCUAAGGCUAAAUACCUGUACGAGUCCGAUAGUCAACAAGUACCGUGAGGGAAAGUUGAAAAGUACUCUGAAGAGAGAGUAAAUAGUACGUGAAACCACAUGGAGGUUAAACAAAUAGAGUCAAGCUGCUUGCAUCAUAUCAUUGCAAUAUGCGCAUUUUGUUGCAUGACAUUUGCCGGGACCUGGCGUGUGAUUCUGUCUACUUGUAGGCAUUUGAACAUGUGUUUGUUGUUGAAAGGUCUCGGUGAGUGUCUGCGCUUAUUGUUCAUGAUGGGUGCUAAUGCCAUAGUCGGUUGUACUACCAGUGCGCAGUAAUCGGCGAUUGUGCGGGCUGACUUAUUGUCGUUCGUGCAAUCAGUGAAACAGUUGGCAACAGUGUGUGCUUGCAUUCGCUUUUGUCAAAGAAGGCCACGGCCUGUUGAUUACUGUGAACAUUGUGAGAGUCGACCGUUCAUAUGUGCUCAUAUAAUUUGUGGUAGUAAGUCGACUUGUCGACUACUUCCAUAAAUGAGCUUAUGAGCUAUGGUAUUGUGGUA